ACGGGGUGCAGCAGGCGCGAAAACUUCACACUGUGCGAAAGCACGAUGAGGGAAUCCCAAGUGCCAGCUCGUAAGAGUUGGCUGUUUUUCUGUCUAAAACACAGAGAGAGUAAGAGCUGGGUAAGACGGGUGCCAGCCGCCGCGGUAAUACCUGCAGCUCAAGUGGUGACCGUUAUUAUUGGGCCUAAAACGUUCGUAGCCGGUUUAGUAAAUGCCUGGGUAAAUCGUGUAGCUUAACUAUACGAAUUCCGGGUAGACUGCUAAGCUUGAGACCGGGAGAGGCUAGAGGUACUCCUGGGGUAGGGGUGAAAUCCUGUAAUCCUGGGGGGACCACCAGUGGCGAAGGCGUCUAGCUAGAACGGGUCUGACGGUGAGGAACGAAGCCCUGGGGCGCAAACCGGAUUAGAUACCCGGGUAGUCCAGGGUGUAAACGCUGCUUGCUUGAUGUUAGUCGGGCUCCGAGCCCGAUUAGUGUCGGAGAGAAGUUGUUAAGCAAGCUGCCUGGGAAGUACGUCGCAAGAC
rnacentral:rRNA from 1 species